CCCGCUGUCAUGUCGAGAAGCAUAAGUAUUUCGCCGAGCUUGACAAGUUCGUCGACGAGACGAAGGAGAGCGAUGACCCAUUGCCAUGGAUUCGGCCCACCACCAAUGAUCACGAGAAGAUGCUUCAUCAAGCAUCAGGUGACUUGUAAAAUCAAUGAGGCUUUCUGGCAGUGGCGACCGUGGCUACUCUUCCUCAAGUGGUUCUAUACCCGCUGCCAUGGAGGACCACGAUAUCUACACUCCUGGCGAGGAGGAGCAUGAGAUGGUGCGUGAGGACGAGGAGGGGUCUGCCUCUAGCUCUACAGGCAUGAAGAAGCACUCUGGGUGUGGUCAGUCGGAGUCAGUGGGAACUCGUUCAAGCGGCUUCACACCACCGGUAGGUGAACCACAUCAUUGGUGCUCUUCUGAAGGAGGACUCCCCCGACAUGGUGAAGCUGAAUGACAAGGUGUAAUCGUCCCCAGGAUUCACUUGGGAGAAGUACAACAACGCCCUGGAUGACGAGUGUGACAACAAGUCCGACCGGAUCUAUCGAGAUAUGUGGGAUGGGCACCUGGUUGAGGCACGCCUGAUGGCAGAGAGAGAUUCCAAGAACCGUCUCUCUAACAUGAGCACAUUGUGUGAUACACGACUGAGAUGAGAUGUCGCCCCCUGGAGGACGAGGGGAAUUAAAAUCACUUCUUGGUACUACUUACAUCAGUAGCCUCUUGUUUCUUCUAUUCGUCAUAUGAUGUACUUUGUCUGAGUAGCUAGAUGAUGGAGCCAUGGAUCCCAGCUGAUUGUUGGACGACAUUCAUGGGUAUGUGGUGCGACCCUGCGUGGCAGGUGCGACACGUUACGAAAAAGGGAGGAGAAACCGUGGAUGAAGGGCCUCUCACAUGUCCUAGGCGGCCUCAACCUGGCAGUUAGCUACCAAAAGAUGUGAGACAACAACCUGGGUGCCACGUCAACAUCAUGCGGGCGUGUGCACAUGGCCAUAGGGGAAAGGGGGCCAGGGUAUUACAACGACUCAACCAAGGAGAAGAUGGAUGCGUACACAACUGUGUACCGUGAGAAACAUGGGUCCGUGGUUGAUCCUCUGUAGUAGCCACCCGAUCCAGAGUUGGUCAUGAGGGUAGGAGGUGUGAAGAAGAGUGGUUGCCACCUCAUUUGCAAAGGUGCAGUCGCCACCUUCUCACAUCCCAAACUAUUUCAGAUCCAGGCACCGAGCACAAGCUCAAGUCCCUCCAUGAGGAGUCACCCGACGACUCAUUCACGUGAGAUUGCAUGACUCCAGAUUUGCAACUUCCAUACCCAUGUCUUUACAUUCCUGAAUUGCAAUCUAUAUUUGGGCCACAAAGCUGGAAGAAGAAAGGAUGAAAAGGGAGGAGGCCGAGGCCGCACAGGUGGCACGACCGCGGGAAGAAGUGGCUGCAAGAGAGAUGCUCCAGGUAGAGUUCAAGGGUUACCACUUUCCCAUAAUAGCCACCAAUAUUAACCGAUCAUCCAGUAUGAUACAAGGGUAACAAAGAUAACUGUAGGCGCUUCAUGAAAGUGUCAAGGCUAUGAAGCAUACCCCCCUCCUCCCCCACAAUCACAAAGCCCGCGUCCACGGAGUUGAUGUUUUCGAGAGGUUGUGUCGAUGAACUACUUUCGAACUUCCAAUGUUUCUUAUCUUAUGUGUGACUUGUACGACGCUUGUGAACUUUAUAUGCUUUUGAUAUUGUUAUGUGACUUGUUGGUA